AUGUGGAGUGACUGGGCAUUGGAAAAGCAAGUGGCAAGACUAUAUAACAGAGGCAUAUUCUACAAAUUUCAGCAAGAGUUAAUGAAUUCAACAAAGUUUCACAUGAUGGAAGUGGAAAAGAACAAACAGUAUGAGGUGUACAAGUCACCGACUCAAGCACUGUUUGACUAUAACCCAAGAACAUUCAUAGUGGUUGUUGACACAGAUUCUGAAACUAUUUCAUGUGUAUGUAGGAAAUUUGAGAAGGAUGGCAUUCUGUGUUGUCAUGCACUCAAAGUCAUACAAGCAUUGAACAUUGAUGAGUUACCAGAAAAGUAUUUCAUUGAUAGAUGGAGACCUAAGGAAAAAAGAGCAUUUCAAGGUAAUGAAGAAGAUGCAAACCUUGAAGAUUCGGAUGAGCAAAUGACAUUCUUCUCAUUUUCAAGAAGGCUAGUUCAGCUAGCUUCUGAGGCAUAA
rnacentral:rRNA from 1 species